rnacentral:piRNA from 1 species
UGGCCAUACAUGCUGUCUCUAGACAUAUGU